AAACUAGGAUUAGAUACCCUAUUAUUCUUACUUAGAGAGCUUUGGAGUAGUAGUAGGAGUUUUGAAAUUUAAAUGAUUUGGCGGUGUCUUAUUCAGUUUAGAGGAACUUGUCCUGUUAUCGAUAGUCCUCGUGGGACCUUACUAUCUCUAACUAGUUUGUAUAUCGUCGUUUUAGAUUACCUUUAAGAGGGUUGAAGUUUUCUUAGAGAUAGGCGUAUCUAGCACUUCAGAUCAAGAUGCAGCUUAUGGGGUAGGUUGAGAUGAGUUACAUUGAGAUGAAUGGUUUGUGGGGGCUAGAAUGAAAUUUUUAGUUGAAAUUGGAUUUAUGAGUAAUAGAGGGAAGAGAGCUUCAUAUGAGUUUUGCGCUAGGACAUGUACACAUCGCCCGUCGCUCUUA
rnacentral:rRNA from 1 species